AGUGAACGCUGGCGGUAGGCCUAACACAUGCAAGUCGAACGGCAGCACAGUAAGAGCUUGCUCUUACGGGUGGCGAGUGGCGGACGGGCGAGGAAUACAUCGGAAUCUACUUUUUCGUGGGGGAUAACGUAGGGAAACUUACGCUAAUAUCGCAUACGACCUACGGGUGAAAGCAGGGGAUCUUCGGACCUUGCGCGAUUGAAUGAGCCGAUGUCGGAUUAGCUAGUUGGCGGGGUAAAGGCCCACCAAGGCGACGAUCCGUAGCUGGUCUGAGAGGAUGAUCAGCCACACUGGAACUGAGACACGGUCCAGACUCCUACGGGAGGCAGCAGUGGGGAAUAUUGGACAAUGGGCGCAAGCCUGAUCCAGCCAUACCGCGUGGGUGAAGAAGGCCUUCGGGUUGUAAAGCCCUUUUGUUGGGAAAGAAAAGCAGCAGGUUAAUACCCCGCUGUUCUGACGGUACCCAAAGAAUAAGCACCGGCUAACUUCGUG
rnacentral:rRNA from 1 species